GUCUGUCUAUAAAGUCGUGACAUGAAUGUUUGAGGAACUAACAUUAUUCAUGUGUCUGGCAACACCAAAGAUCACCAAACAUAUGUACAUCAGCUGUCAUCGAGAACAAGUUGUGGAACGAUUUUCAUUUUGUGUUUUUUAUUGUUUGACUAAUGUCCUGUAAAUUAUUACUCAGCUACGAAGAAAAGUAUAAGCAAUGAGUAAAGUAAAUUGGAGUGCCACGCGGAAAGUGAUUUUUAAAGUUUUCCAGCAAUGUUCCGCGGAGUACCAAGCUGGUCAAAUUUUGUGGGAUUUUGAUGUUUUAUGGGCGAACAGCAUCUUUGACGGGAAAAUCAGAGAGUACGGUUAAGCGCAUAGUCAAUGAAGGUUUUCAGAAUAAUGGAAAAUUUAGAACUCCUGGGAAACACAGGCAAGGCCGACCAAAGAAAGAAAUGGAUAUUAAUUUGUGCUCUGCGCCAAAAAAUAUAAUUUUUUACACGGUACAAAAAGAGGUCACAAAAUGUUCGCAAUCUCUAAACAUCAAAGGCAUCACAAAAGACAUUUUCAAAGGAAAGCGUUACAUCAUAGUCCAUUCUGGAAGCGAAAAGGGGUUUGUGCCAAACUGCCUCCUCAUAUUCACUGGCAGAAAUAAUUUGGAAGACUACCAUUCAGAAAUGAAUGCGCAUAACUUCACGAAGUGGAUUAAAGAAAAACUAAUACCAAAUCUUCAUGAGCCUUCCAUUAUAUUUAUGGACCUGUACCAAGACAAUUGGUUAUUUGCUUAGGCGAUAAUAACAGCAGCGAAAAUGAUGAUGUGAAUGAUGACAGCGCUACUUAUGAAAGUGGCAACGAAACUUUUCUUAACAUCGAAAAUUUGGAAUCCGAUGAUGAAAGUGAUUAAUAAAUGUCCUUAUUAACUAUGUAUAA